GACGAACGCUGGCGGCGUGCUUAACACAUGCAAGUCGAACGGAAAGGCCCUGCUUUUGUGGGGUGCUCGAGUGGCGAACGGGUGAGUAACACGUGAGUAACCUGCCCUUGACUUUGGGAUAACUUCAGGAAACUGGGGCUAAUACCGGAUAGGAGCUCCUGCUGCAUGGUGGGGGUGGGAAAGUUUCUGCGGUUGGGGAUGGACUCGCGGCUUAUCAGCUUGUUGGUGGGGGAGUGGCUUACCAAGGCUUUGACGGGUAGCCGGCCUGAGAGGGUGACCGGCCACAUUGGGCCUGAGGUACGGCCCAGACUCCUACGGGAGGCAGCAGUGGGGAAUAUUGCACAAUGGGCGGAAGCCUGAUGCAGCAACGCCGCGUGCGGGAUGACGGCCUUCGGGUUGUAAACCGCUUUCGCCUGUGACGAAGCGUGAGUGACGGUAACGGGUAAAGAAGCACCGGCUAACUACGUG
rnacentral:rRNA from 1 species